rnacentral:rRNA from 1 species
CCUACGGGAGGCAGCAGUGGGGAAUAUUGGGCAAUGGACGCAAGUCUGACCCAGCAACGCCGCGUGAAGGAAGAAGGCUUUCUGGUUGUAAACUUCUUUUAAGGGGGAAGAGCAGAAGACGGUACCCCUUGAAUAAGCCACGGCUAACUACGUGCCAGCAGCCGCGGUCAUACGUAGGUGGCAAGCGUUGUCCGGAUUUACUGGGUGGAAAGGGCGUGCAGCCGGAGAGGCAAGUCAGAUGUGAAAUCCGCGGGCUCAACUCGCGAACUGCAUUUGAAACUGCUUGCCUUGAGUGUAGGAGAGGUAGUCGGAAUGCCUAGUGUAGCGGUGAAAUGCGUAGAUAUUAGGAAGAACACCGGUGGCGAAGGCGGAUUACUGGACGACAACUGACGGUGAGGCGCGAAAGCGUGGGGAGCAAACAGGAUUAGAUACCCUUGUAGUC